ensembl:lincRNA Gm26514 predicted gene, 26514
ACACACACACACACACACACACACACAUAUUUAUAAAAUUUCCAUCGGCUGUUGGCAAUGUAGAAUCCUAGUCUGGAAAGAAAUCACAUAUUCCCAGGAAUACCAGAGAAUCACAAUAUAGAUUUGAUGAUGAGCCUCAAAUUUUACUCUAUUUCCCCUUUAAGGAUAUGCUUCCUCAUUUGUUCAAAGGCAAUAAUAAUAGUUCCCGUCUCAUGGGGGAGUGAUUUCUGUUCUUAAGGUUAUUUAUAUGGUAUAUUACAUUAAUUUGUGUCUAUUGAGCCGGCUUCAUCUCUGAGAUGAAGCUAAUACAUCUGCUAAAUCCAUUUGAGCAGUGGUAUAGCUUAAAGUUUCCUUGUAGAUUUUUAAUUUGAAUGACUUGUGUAGAGAUGAGAACUGACAAUAGAAUCUCCCACUAUGUUGCACUUACACCCAUGUGACUUGUAAAUGCCUGUUCGUGUCUGUAUGAAGUCAUGAGCCACAGUGUUUGCUGCAUGUUUAUUCACAGUAGUUACAGCUGCUCUUCAGUUGUUCCCUUUAUUACAAUAUGCUGACCUUCUUUUUGUUCUAAUUUGAUUUCAGGUUAUCAGCUAUCAAAAUACUAUGCCUUGUAUUUGGUUUCCAUUUGUUUGGCAUGCUGACUUCCAUCUUUUGACUCUCAGUGUGGGUAUCCUCCAGAGAGAUGCUUCUUGGAAACAUUAGUUUGAGGUCAUUUGUUCCUAGAAACUAUGUACUAACCACUGUAAUUCUGUUGCUUAGACUCUUGUUCUUUUCCCUCCUGCCAGGGGUUUUCUGGUGUAUUACAUCAGACAUGAUCGAUUCCUUCUGAGCUCGCCUUUGUUGUCUGCUACUCUGUGAAAGUCUUACUCCCUUAUUUUCUUAUGAUUGAGAGUGUUUUUGCAUCUUCCUCUGUGUAUAAUAUUCCUUUAACUAUCUUCUGGAAUGCUAAGUUGGUGGUCAUGAACUGCCUUAAUUUGUGCUUAUCUUCAAAUAUUUGUAUUUCUUUAUCAACUUUGAAAGAUAAUGCUGCUGAGUAUAGCAACUGGGUCAGCACACUUGAGCUCUCUCAUUCCAUGAUUUCCUGACUGAAAUGGCUGAUGAGAGGCUGAUAUUCCUCUAAUAGUUAUGUCUCUGUAGGUAAGCUGACGGUUUCCUCUCACAGCUUUUAACCUUGUUUCUUUGUAUUCCUGUUGUCCUGGCUUUUAUGUGCCAUGAACACAUUGUUAUCUGCUCAUGUCUGUUUGGCAUUCUGUGCCAUGGAGACAUUGUUAUCCACUCUUGUCUGUUUGGCAUUCUGUGCCAUGGACACAUUGUUAUCUGCUCGUGUCUAUUUGGCAUUCUGCAUGAGCUUUUGUGUUUCGAUGUCCAUUUCAUUCUCUAGAUCUGUGAAAUUUUCUGCUGAGGUUUUAUGAGCUGCAUGCCUGCCAUUCUUACCUAAGUUUCUACCCACGGUGCUUAGGUUGGAUUGCAGAGUUCUUGGGCUUCAAGGUAAAAACCCUUUAUUGUUUUCUUUAUGGGUAUUGGAAUGCAGGGUUUGUCUUUUGUGCUCUCCAGCCCUGAAACUCUUUCUUCCUCUUGGUCAGAUUUCUUGGCAAUGUUUUCCACUGUUUCUUUAUUUGAUUCAUUGAGUUUAUUUCCAAGUUUCUUUUUUUCAAAACCUCAAUUUCCUUAUUGAUUUUCCCCCUUACCCAUAUUUUUCAUCCAUAUUACUGAGAGUCAGUCUCUCUCUCUCACACACACAUGCACACUUUUUUUCAAUUUUUUUUUACAUUGCUGACUUCAUUCCAAGUCCUGUUUUUUGUCCUACAGCUUGUUUGCAUAUUCUUUAAGGUCACUUAUUAUUUUGACUAAUACACUCUUGAAGUCUCAUCUGACACUUUGCCAUUUCAGUAAUAUCGUUGAAUUCAAUAAUUGAGUGGGGUCUUUUGAAAUCACACUGUGUGCUCUCUCUCUCCCUCUGUCUCUCUCCCCUCCCUCUCUCUAUCUCUGUCUCUCUCUCUCUUUCUCUCUCUCUCUCUUUCUCUCUCUCUCUCUCUCUCUCUCUCUCUCUCUCUCUCUCUCUCUCUCUCGUGUGUGUGUGUGUCCCUCCCUCCUUUCCCUCCCAUCCCUGUGAGCAUCCCUUCUCCCUACAAGCCCAUUUCCCACAUUCUUGUCUUGGUUUAGAGACCUGUAUUCCUAAAUACUGAAGAGACACAUUUCUUUUUGCUAAAUCCAGAACUCUUAUUUGAAAAUAUUUUCAAUUAGUAAUCAUAUAGAUUUGAAAAAAUACUUUGGUUUAUCUUUAAUGGCAUAUAAAACAAAGCACAGUAAUCCUGUGACCAUAAACAGAAGGUGGUUAGGAAUGUGGGCAUGGGAUCUGGGAGGUAAUGAAGCGUGUUCAUCCUUUCAUCGAGUCUAGGAUGCCUAUAUUCAUGUGUCUGUGGGACAGUUAAAAGAUAAUAAAGACAGUACUGACAUCCCAUCUUUUCUAUAAAUGUUUAGUGCCUUAAAACAUCACAGCUUUUUUAUUUUUCUACAUGUAAUUGUUUCAAAGUAUAUACUUAGGUAACUAUUUAACUUUACCAUUUAUUCAAGAUUCUUACUGGAAGAAUCUAACAAAUGUCUUUAUAGAUUUUAUUUCCCAAAUUGUAUUGCUGGUAAAUUGUUACAGCAGCUGUACUUAGGUCCUCAAGUGCAAGAAUAUCUGCACUGCUUUCAUGCUCUAAGACUCCAAGAUAACACUCGGUGAUAGACUAGGAAGGGAACUAAAUAGACUUCCCAGAACUACUAGGGAGGGGCUGAUGAUGCAUUAGCUCUUGGAAAGACAGCUCCUGCCUGCUGGGGGUGAGAAGGAAGUGCCUCCCUAUAAAGCCAGCCAGAUGAGAUAUGUGAGGGCUAGCUUUACCUCAGCUUUCUAGCCAUGUGACCAGAAAGUAUCUGAAAAUAGAAUAACUUGCAUUUGACUUAAAGGGAUACAUUUCUAGACUUGAAGCCAAUACGGUUGUGAACUGAGGCUGUUUCUUCAGAGGCCUGUUGUCUUGACAUACGCAGAGGUGCUUUACAGCCUCUCUCUCAGCCUCAGGGCUCCUUGUCUUUGGUGUCCUUGCUUCUGCACUUCCUUGCCUGUUGCUCUUUAGCCUUUGACCCACACUCUGCUUGCUUGUUUCCUAGGUCUGUAAGGUCAUGAAUGACACAUUAGCAGAGAACAGGAUCUAAAAUGUAAGGAUCUUGGGUUUGCCCACUGCCUCUCCUCAGCUCUGUCAAGGCCUGUGGAGUCUCUGAGCUCUGGGCCUGCCUGAGUGUUUUAGGAGGAGCAUCACAGCUCCAGUGUUUGAGACAUGGUGCUGCCAUUGCUCACCAAAUAACAACUUUUUAGCCAUUGCCUUUCCUCAUCACCCAGGAGGAAACAGUACCUGGAGCAGGGCUGACAGUUUUAUAAGGUCAUGUAGCAAGUUCAUCUGGGGCUUAGAGCUUCUGCCUGAGCCCCUGAGCCUUAGGCAACCCCUUUCUACCUGUAGUCUACUUUUGUAACCUUUCCUCAUAAGUUUGCUGACUGGAAUUUUUGCUUUCUGACCACCAUUGUUCACAGUUUAUCUUUGAGGAAAUGUAUGGGUUUUUGUUUUGUUUUGUUUUGUUUUGUUUUGUUUUGUUUUUCUGGUUUUUAUCCUUAGCUGGGAGAGUGAUGUUUCCUCCUUUUCUGAUAAGGACAGCAAUUGGCCAGACUCCAGGGUCUGAGGAAAUACAGUUGUAGAAACUGAAGGUUACCCUAUGGGUGGGCCAAUUCUUUGCACUGGAUUUUUAAUGUUUACUCCUGCAGUAGUACUUAAAUGUGAAAAACGUCAAAGUUCAAAGGGUAAAUAAUAUGUUUCACUUGAAUUUUUCUAAUACAAUAUUUUAGUGUAUGUGUACCCAUAUAAAGAUGAGUAGAGUUUGGGUGUAGCUCACUGGGUGGAGUCUUUGCUUGCCAUGCUUAAAGCUCUGGGUUCAGUCACUGGCACCAUAUAAGCCAGGCUGCAGGGCAUACACCUGUAAUCCCAGAGCAUAGGAAUCCAUCAGAAGAAGCUGAAGGUUCUCCUCUUACAUAAGGAAUUUGAGGCCAACCUGGGUUAGAGAACCUGUCUCAAAAAAGG